ACGCAUAUGCCAUUUGUCCUAAAG
rnacentral:siRNA from 1 species